rnacentral:rRNA from 1 species
CGGAGAGGGGAGUGAAAUAGAACCUGAAACCGUAUGCGUACAAGCAGUGGGAGCCUACUUUGUUAGGUGACUGCGUACCUUUUGUAUAAUGGGUCAGCGACUUAUUUUCAGUGGCGAGCUUAACCGAAUAGGGGAGGCGUAGCGAAAGCGAGUCUUAAUAGGGCGUCUAGUCGCUGGGAAUAGACCCGAAACCGGGCGAUCUAUCCAUGGGCAGGUUGAAGGUUAGGUAACACUGACUGGAGGACCGAACCGACUACCGUUGAAAAGUUAGCGGAUGACCUGUGGAUCGGAGUGAAAGGCUAAUCAAGCUCGGAGAUAGCUGGUUCUCCUCGAAAGCUAUUUAGGUAGCGCCUCGUGUAUCACUGCUGGGGGUAGAGCACUGUUUCGGCUAGGGGGUCAUCCCGACUUACCAAACCGAUGCAAACUCCGAAUACCAGCAAGUGUCAGCACGGGAGACACACGGCGGGUGCUAACGUCCGUCGUGAAAAGGGAAACAACCCAGACCGUCAGCUAAGGUCCCAAAGUCAUGGUUAAGUGGGAAACGAUGUGGGAAGGCUUAGACAGCUAGGAGGUUGGCUUAGAAGCAGCCAUCCUUUAAAGAAAGCGUAAUAGCUCACUAGUCGAGUCGGCCUGCGCGGAAGAUGUAACGGGGCUCAAACCAUGCACCGAAGCUACGGGUUCAACGUAAGUUGAGCGGUAGAGGAGCGUUCUGUAAGCCUGUGAAGGUGAGUUGAGAAGCUUGCUGGAGGUAUCAGAAGUGCGAAUGCUGACAUGAGUAACGACAAUGCGAGUGAAAAACUCGCACGCCGAAAGACCAAGGGUUCCUGCGCAACGUUAAUCGACGCAGGGUGAGUCGGUCCCUAAGGCGAGGCUGAAAAGCGUAGUCGAUGGGAAACGGGUUAAUAUUCCCGUACUUCUGGUUACUGCGAUGGGGGGACGGAGAAGGCUAGGCCAGCUUGGCGUUGGUUGUCCAAGUUUAAGGCGGUAGACAGGGAUCUUAGGUAAAUCCGGGAUCUCAAUGUCGAGAGCUGAUGACGAGCUUUCUUUUAGAAAGCGAAGUGGUUGAUGCCAUGCUUCCAGGAAAAGCCUCUAAGCUUCAGGUAAUCAGGAACCGUACCCCAAACCGACACAGGUGGUCGGGUAGAGAAUACCAAGGCGCUUGAGAGAACUCGGGUGAAGGAACUAGGCAAAAUGGCACCGUAACUUCGGGAGAAGGUGCGCCGGUGAGGGUGAAUGACUUGCUCAGUAAGCUCAUGCCGGUCGAAGAUACCAGGCCGCUGCGACUGUUUAUUAAAAACACAGCACUCUGCAAACACGAAAGUGGACGUAUAGGGUGUGACGCCUGCCCGGUGCCGGAAGGUUAAUUGAUGGGGUUAGCGCAAGCGAAGCUCUUGAUCGAAGCCCCGGUAAACGGCGGCCGUAACUAUAACGGUCCUAAGGUAGCGAAAUUCCUUGUCGGGUAAGUUCCGACCUGCACGAAUGGCGUAACGAUGGC